UACGGGGGGGCAAGCGUUGUUCGGAAUUACUGGGCGUAAAGGGCUCGUAGGCGGCCAACUAAGUCAGACGUGAAAUCCCUCGGCUUAACUGGGGAACUGCGUCUGAUACUGCGUGGCUUGAGUGCAGGAGAGGAACGCGGAAUUCCAGGUGUAGCGGUGAAAUGCGUAGAUAUCUGGAGGAACACCGGUGGCGAAGGCGGCGUUCUGGACUGUAACUGACACUGAAAAACGAAAGCCAGGGGAGCAAACGGG
rnacentral:rRNA from 1 species